ACAGGGCAGUUGGGGCUCGUGCCAGAUGCGCGUUUACACGGGCCCUGAAUACUGUAAAUGCACUAUCUGGUACGACAUCUCUUCUGUCGCCGUCAU
rnacentral:pre_miRNA from 13 species